rnacentral:rRNA from 1 species
UAGGGAAUCUUCCACAAUGGACGAAAGUCUGAUGGAGCAACGCCGCGUGAGUGAAGAAGGGUUUCGGCUCGUAAAACUCUGUUGUUAAAGAAGAACAUAUCUGAGAGUAACUGUUCAGGUAUUGACGGUAUUUAACCAGAAAGCCACGGCUAACUACGUGCCAGCAGCCGCGGUAAUACGUAGGUGGCAAGCGUUGUCCGGAUUUAUUGGGCGUAAAGCGAGCGCAGGCGGUUUUUUAAGUCUGAUGUGAAAGCCUUCGGCUCAACCGAAGAAGUGCAUCGGAAACUGGGAAACUUGAGUGCAGAAGAGGACAGUGGAACUCCAUGUGUGGCGGUGAAAUGCGUAGAUAUAUGGAAGAACACCAGUGGCGAAGGCGGCUGUCUGGUCUGUAACUGACGCUGAGGCUCGAAAGUAUGGGUAGCAAACAGGAUUAGAUACCCUGGUAGUCCAUACCGUAAACGAUGAAUGCUAAGUGUUGGAGGGUUUCCGCCCUUCAGUGCUGCAGCUAACGCAUUAAGCAUUCCGCCUGGGGAGUACGGCCGCAAGGCUG